GGAAGAGUGCCCGAGAAUUAGGGACUACCUUGAUAGAGUAGACACAGGACUAUAACCCUCUCUUCCC
rnacentral:tRNA from 1 species